rnacentral:rRNA from 1 species
UACGUAGGGUGCGAGCGUUGUUCGGAAUGACUGGGCGUAAAGGGCGCGUAGGCGGUUCGUUGCGUCAGAUGUGAAAGCCCCGGGCUCAACCUGGGAACUGCAUUUGAUACGGGCGAGCUUGAAUCCAAGAGAGGGUGGUGGAAUUCCCAGUGUAGAGGUGAAAUUCGUAGAUAUUGGGAAGAACACCAGUGGCGAAGGCGGCCACCUGGCUUGGUAUUGACGCUGAGGCGCGAAAGCGUGGGGAGCAAACAGG